rnacentral:rRNA from 1 species
GAUGAACGCUGGCGGCGUGCCUAAUACAUGCAAGUCGAGCGAACAGAUGAGGAGCUUGCUCCUCUGACGUUAGCGGCGGACGGGUGAGUAACACGUGGAUAACCUACCUAUAAGACUGGGAUAACUUCGGGAAACCGGAGCUAAUACCGGAUAAUAUAUUGAACCGCAUGGUUCAAUAGUGAAAGACGGUUUUGCUGUCACUUAUAGAUGGAUCCGCGCCGCAUUAGCUAGUUGGUAAGGUAACGGCUUACCAAGGCAACGAUGCGUAGCCGACCUGAGAGGGUGAUCGGCCACACUGGAACUGAGACACGGUCCAGACUCCUACGGGAGGCAGCAGUAGGGAAUCUUCCGCAAUGGGCGAAAGCCUGACGGAGCAACGCCGCGUGAGUGAUGAAGGUCUUCGGAUCGUAAAACUCUGUUAUUAGCGAAGAACAAAUGUGUAAGUAACUAUGCACGUCUUGACGGUACCUAAUCAGAAAGCCACGGCUAACUACGUG